rnacentral:rRNA from 1 species
AGAGUGAACGCUGGCGGUAGGCCUAACACAUGCAAGUCGAACGGCAGCACAGUAGGAGCUUGCUCUUACGGGUGGCGAGUGGCGGACGGGUGAGGAAUACAUCGGAAUCUACCUUUUGGUGGGGGAUAACGUAGGGAAACUUACGCUAAUACCGCAUACGCCCUUCGGGGGAAAGCCGGGGACCAGCAAUGGCCUGGCGCUGAUAGAUGAGCCGAUGUCGGAUUAGCUAGUGUGAGGUAAUGGCUCACAAGGCGACGAUCCGUAGCUGGUCUGAGAGGAUGAUCAGCCACACUGGAACUGAGACACGGU